ACCUGUGGUGUUUUGAGUGGUUCGUUUUGCAACACAGUUGGUUCAAUUCAUUCAGAGUUUCGAAAAGCUUUGUUUCUUCCAUCACUAGUCCACAGAUUGAUAUAGAUUUCUUCUCAGCUCUCUUUUGUUUCUUUCUCUAAGCAGCAGCACUUGUUCAGAGCACUGGAGAGUGACCCGCUCUUUGCCCGGCAGCCUGGUGAGGACAUCCCAGUGGAGCAGAAACAAGAAAUCACAUUCCGCCGCUGUAAACAAUUAUUUAAAUAUGACUUUGUAACACGAGAUGUUGUCAUGUAGAACCCCUGGAAGAUGCCGAUCCUCAAUGACUGCCUGGGAAUGUAUGACUGGUCUUUGGGAGCCAAGUACUUCCUUAACAAAGGGAUGUUUGGAGCCACAGUGGCAAACACAGGAUCUCGGAGACACUUGAUGUUUGUGCAGGACAUUGAGUAAAUUAUGACAUUUGGAUGCUUUGCAUUGACAGAGCUGAGCCAUGGCAGCAACACGAGAGCCCUGAGGACAAGAUAUGACCC